rnacentral:rRNA from 1 species
UACGAAGGGUCCAAGCGUUAUCCGGAUUUAUUGGGUUUAAAGGGUGCGUAGGCGGCUUAUUAAGUCAGUGGUGAAAGCCCGUAGCUCAACUACGGAACUGCCAUCGAUACUGAUGAGCUUGAAUAUACUUGAGGUUGGCGGAAUGUGUCAUGUAGCGGUGAAAUGCUUAGAUAUGACACAGAACACCGAUUGCGAAGGCAGCUAGCUAGAGUACAAUUGACGCUGAUGCACGAAAGCGUGGGGAGCAAACAGG